rnacentral:rRNA from 1 species
UACGAAGGGGGCUAGCGUUGCUCGGAAUUACUGGGCGUAAAGGGCGCGUAGGCGGCACUGUUAGUCAGGCGUGAAAGUCCUGGGCUCAACCUGGGAACUGCGCUUGAUACGGCAGAGCUAGAGGAUGGAAGAGGCUCGCGGAAUUCCCAGUGUAGAGGUGAAAUUCGUAGAUAUUGUCAAGAACACCAAUUGCGAAGGCAGCUUACUAAAUUAUAACUGACGCUGAGGCACGAAAGUGUGGGUAUCAAACAGG